UACGUAUGGGGCAAGCGUUAUCCGGAUUUACUGGGUGUAAAGGGAGCGUAGGCGGCGGGGCAAGCCUGAUGUGAAAGCCCGGGGCUCAACCCCGGGACUGCAUUGGGAACUGCCCUGCUGGAGUGCCGGAGGGGCAGGCGGAAUUCCUAGUGUAGCGGUGAAAUGCGUAGAUAUUAGGAGGAACACCAGUGGCGAAGGCGGCCUGCUGGACGGUGACUGACGCUGAGGCCCGAAAGCGUGGGGAGCAAACAGG
rnacentral:rRNA from 1 species